rnacentral:piRNA from 1 species
UNCCAAAUGUUAGCAUGACAUGCCUGCUC